UCCAAUCCAUCCAUUAAGAAUAAAAAUUCAUCCAAUCCAUCCAUUAUCAUAUUUUUAGUGGAUGGAUAUCCAUCCAUCAAUUUCUUUUUCCUUUAAAAUUUUUCUUUUUUGAAAAAAAUCACUUAUUUUUUUGAAAAUUUUUUUUCUUUUAUUUUUUUUAAUAAAACAAUAUCAGCUUUUUUCGAGAAAAAUCAUUUUUUCAAAAAAAAAUAUAUUUUUGUAUUUUCGAAAAAAAUAAUUUAA
rnacentral:lncRNA from 1 species